UUUACAGCAUAUAGUUUUGUAAGUAUUGCUGUUGCAUUGGUUUGCCUUUUAUCCUUUGUCUCUCCAUUUUGAUGUUCCCCUUCCCUUCCCCUAGUUCCAAUAAAAGUAUAUACAAUACUCAGGGCACCAAAUUCAGUUACAGUAACAUCAGGGUUAAAACCACGGGAAG